rnacentral:lncRNA from 1 species
CAGGGCUGGGGCCAGCUGUGCUGUGCUGAGGUCAGGCUCCUUCCAAGCUGUGUCCUGGUCACGUUGGGCCUGGUGGCCCAGGUCCCAGAGGCUCACCCUGCUCCUUCUCCAGGGAGACCCUUGUCCCCGGCCAAUGUCCCUGCUCUGCCUGGCGAGACGGUGACCUCCCCAGUCAGGGUGAGUAGUGGUGGGGAGCCGGGCAGGGGCCCAGCCCUCCGGCAUCCUCACCGCCCCUCCGUUCCCAGCUGCACCCCGACUACCUCUCCCCGGAGGAGAUACAGAGGCAGCUGCAGGACAUCGAGAGGCGGCUGGACGCCCUGGAGCUCCGCGGCGUGGAGCUGGAGAAGCGACUGCGGGCGGCCGAGGGAGAUGACGCUGAGGAUAGCCUCAUGGUGGACUGGUUCUGGCUCAUUCACGAGAAGCAGCUUCUGCUGAGACAGGAGUCAGAGCUGAUGUACAAGUCCAAGGCCCAGCGUCUGGAGGAGCAGCAGCUGGACAUCGAGGGCGAGCUGCGCCGGCUCAUGGCCAAGCCC